UGGGGAAUGAUUGCACAAUGGGCGAAAGCCUGAUGCAGCAACGCCGCGUGAGUGAUGAAGGUCUUCGGAUUGUAAAGCUCUGUCUUUUGGGACGAUAAUGACGGUACCAAAGGAGGAAGCCACGGCUAACUACGUGCCAGCAGCCGCGGUAAUACGUAGGUGGCGAGCGUUGUCCGGAUUUACUGGGCGUAAAGGGUGCGUAGGCGGAUGUUUAAGUGAGAUGUGAAAUACCCGGGCUUAACUUGGGUGCUGCAUUUCAAACUGGAUAUCUAGAGUGCAGGAGAGGAGAAUGGAAUUCCUAGUGUAGCGGUGAAAUGCGUAGAGAUUAGGAAGAACACCAGUGGCGAAGGCGAUUCUCUGGACUGUAACUGACGCUGAGGCACGAAAGCGUGGGUAGCAAACAGGAUUAGAUACCCUGGUAGUCCACGCCGUAAACGAUGAGUACUAGGUGUAGGAGGUAUCGACCCCUUCUGUGCCGCAGUAAACACAUUAAGUACUCCGCCUGGGAAGUACGAUCGCAAGAUUAAAAC
rnacentral:rRNA from 1 species